AUUGAACGCUGGCGGCAGGCCUAACACAUGCAAGUCGAACGAGUGGCGGACGGGUGAGUAAUGUCUGGGAAACUGCCUGAUGGAGGGGGCUAACUACUGGAAACGGUAGCUAAUACCGCAUACCAUCAGAUGUGCCCAGAUGGGAUUAGCUUGUUGUGGGGGUAACGGAUCACCAAGGUGACGAUCCCUAGCUGGUGUGAGAGGAUGACCAGCCACAGUGGAACUGAGACACGGUCCAGACUCCUACGGGAGGCAGCAGUGGCGAAUAUGGCCCAAUGGGCGAUAGCCGGAGGCAGCCAUGCCGCGUGUAUGAAGAAGGCCUUCGGGUUGUAAAGUACGUUCAGCGGGGAGGCGUUACCCGCAGAAGAAGCACCGGCUAACUCCGUGCCAGCAGCCGCGGUAAUAC
rnacentral:rRNA from 1 species